CGGGCGGAGCGCGGGGAGGUGCAGGGGGCGGGGAAAGGGCGGCGCCGCGAGGGCGGCUCCUGGCGGCGGGACUGUGGCUGUGGCCCCGGGAGAGCCGGGUGGGGCCUCGGGAUGCAGCCGCCGGUGCCCGGGCCCCUGGGCCUGCUGGACCCCGCAGAGGGGCUUUCGAGGAGGAAGAAGACGUCGCUCUGGUUUGUGGGGUCUCUGCUGCUGGUGUCCGUCCUCAUAGUGACCAUCGGGCUGGCUGCCACCACCAGGACGGAGAAUGUGACCGUGGGGGGCUACUACCCAGGGAUCAUUCUCGGCUUCGGAUCUUUCUUAGGAAUUAUUGGCAUCAACUUGGUGGAGAAUAGAAGGCAAAUGCUGGUGGCAGCGAUCGUGUUUAUCAGUUUUGGCGUGGUGGCCGCCUUCUGCUGUGCCAUCGUGGACGGUGUAUUUGCAGCACAGCACAUUGAACCGAGGCCCCUCACCACGGGAAGAUGCCAGUUUUACUCCAGUGGGGUGGGGUACUUGUACGACGUCUACCAGACAGAGGUCACCUGUCACUCCCUGGAUGGCAAGUGCCAGCUGAAGGUGAGGAGCAACACCUGCUACUGCUGUGACCUCUACACCUGCGGGAGCGCAGAGCCCUUGCCCGCCUACUAUGAGUUCAUCGGCGUCCGCGGCUGCCAGGACGUGCUGCACCUGUACCGCCUGCUCUGGGCCUCUGCGGUUCUAAACGUCCUGGGCCUGUUCCUGGGCAUCAUCACCGCCGCCGUCCUGGGGGCCUUCAAGGACAUGAGAAGCUGUAAGGGAUGGGCAGCCAGGAGUGAGGGAGCCCCAACCCCAGAACAUCCAAACGGCAGCCCAGGGAUGAGGGACGCCCCCUCUUGCACCCACACCAGGACGCCUGGCAGCACCAGGCAGACGCACAUCCUGCAGGCCAGACCCGGCCCAGCGUGGCAGCGAAAACACUCCUGAGCGGCUUCUCCAUGCCCUAUUCAUCCCAGAGACUGCCCAUGACUAAAAAGUAACUCAGUUUGUAACCCUCCUGCCAUCUGCUUCUCAGCUCCUCCUUUUCUCAACACUUUCGUGCUUCCAGACAAAACUGGUGAAGCUGAGAGUGACCCUGGCAUCCCGAGGUCCAGCCCUCUGGCUCCCCACCCAGUGGCCCCCCAAGCCCCACCCUGGGCCCGUAGACGCCCACACACCAACACAAGACAGGCGCCUCCCAGGGGUCCUUGCUCUGCGGUGACAGCCGGCCGGCCCCUGUGGUGGGAGUGGGAGUCUGGGGUCGGGAAGGGUCUCUGCCAGGAUCGUGCGGGCUCCGGGCGCCUUUGGCGUCUCCUCGGUGCAAGCCUCUCUGCCUCGGCGGUUCAGUGUCUCCUCUCAGCGGCUGUCCUAGGAAGAACUGCAGCCGGACUGUAGACAGGACACAGAAACGCUUGUCUGGUGCAGGCGCCAUGCUCGCCGCACAGGCCCAGGGUGUCCAGGGUUUUCCGGAAGGGGCUCGUGUGUUCAUCAAAGCCCGUGAUAACAUGCUGGAGUGCAGGAUCAGGAACAGGAGAUACCUCAAGGGCCAGCCCACAAUGCAGCCACACCCGGCUCCAGGAAGUCUUCCUCGAACCCAAAGCUCAGGGGUGCAGAGCAAGGAGAGGGCUUGCUAACCUUCACACCCACCAAGCAGGCACUCUUAAACCCCACGCUGGUUGGAGCACAGGCUUGGGGAAGCGAGAGCCGUCAGCCCGGUGCUGAGAGGACCCUCCCCACCUGCACCCUUCUGUGCCGACAAAGCAGACUCUGGGGCCCGGAGAGAAGGAAACCAGUGCUUUUUUUCCCCCCCACAAAAAUUAAAACAGUAAAAGAGAGCCUGAGCCAAGCGGUCACCCGGUGUGACUAGCAGGUGGCGGGGCCCUGGGACCAAGAUGUAGAGACCCUGAGUGUAAACGCACGCUGGGCCGGGGUCAGCUCCAGCCUGAGAGGCGGGGGUAGGGGGUGCUGGGCUUUCUAGGAAGGCUGGACAGCCCCUCCCUCC